CCAAUAGCAUAUAUUAAAGUUGCUGCGGUUAAAAAGCUCGUAGUUGAAUUUCGGGAUUGAUGCAUCGGUCGUGCCUUAAGGGGUAUGAACUGGUGUAGCCAAUUUCUCACCUUCUGGUGAAUUGUGACGUCCUUAAUUGAGUGUUUCAAUGAACUAGGACUUUUACUUUGAAAAAAUUAGAGUGUUUAAAGCAGGCAUUUUUGCUUGAAUACAUUAGCAUGGAAUAAUAAAAUAGGACGAUGGCUCUAUUUUGUUGGUUUCUAGGAUCACGUAAUGAUUAAUAGGGAUAGUUGGGGGCAUUAGUAUUCAAUUGUCAGAGGUGAAAUUCUUGGAUUUAUUGAAGACUAACUACUGCGAAAGCAUUUGCCAAGGAUGUUUUCAUUAAUCAAGAACGAAAGUUAGGGGAUCGAAGACAGUCAGGUACGUCGUAGUCUUAACCAUAAACUAUGCCGACUAGGAAUCAGACAAUGUUAAAUUUUUAAUGACUUGUUUGGCACCUUACGGGAAACCAAAGUGUUUUGGGUUC
rnacentral:rRNA from 1 species